CCUGCCGGGAGCGCGGCUCAGUGAGGGCAUCCCCUGCCCGCCUCUGCCCUCCGCCGGCCUUUACCGACCUUUCCCCGCCGCCCACCUUUGCCCGCCCCGGUGACCAGCACCCGGCGGCCCGCGAGACCCAACUCCAUGUCGGCACAGUCUCCGCCCUGCGUACUGGGGCCGCGGGACGUGAAGGCUUGACAGCAGGACACCGCUGGCUCACUUGUAAAGCCAAGGGAAAGAAUUUGGACCACCAAGUACGUCUGGAGAAGACACCAAUGUCAGCAGAACUCCACUUUCAUCUAUGGGCGAAGGAUUACCUAGGUGCCAAGGCAAGAGACUGAAGAUGCAAACUGUUUCAGUAUAAUAAAGAAAAUAGUUAAAAUGAAAAUAGUCAUAAUACAAAUUGGAUAUAAAAAUGAUCAUGGAUAUUAUCAAUCAUUAGUAUAAACAUUAAUCAUUGGCUUUUAA